ACAGAGGGUGCGAGCGUUGUUCGGAAUUACUGGGCGUAAAGCGCGCGCAGGCGGCUCUUUAAGUCUACCCGUGAAAUGCCGGAGCUCAACUCCGUGCACGCCGGGGGAUACUGGAGAGCUGGAGACGAGUAGAGGCAAGCGGAAUUCCGGGUGUAGCGGUGGAAUGCGUAGAGAUCCAUGGGAACACCGGUGGCGAAAGCGGCCCACUAGGCCUGAUCUGACGCUGAGACGCGAGAGCGUGGGUAGCAAACAGGA
rnacentral:rRNA from 1 species